rnacentral:lncRNA from 1 species
UUGAAAAGCCUCAAAUCCUAGAGUGAAACCAGAUUUGUAAACUUUGGUCGUAACGUCUAUCUCCCAUCCGUUGAAUGCUUGUGAGCUGAUAUCGAACUUGUUGAUCAAUCCAUCUAAUUAAAUGGCCUGCAGUUUUUGGUGUUUCUCCAUGUCUGCGCCCAUUUCGCUUUCGCCAAAUGGUGUGGACAGUAGCUUGGAAAACAUACCUUGCAAGGAAUCCCUCAAUACGAUCCAGCUGAGGUUGUGAGAUAAAGUUGAGUAUCUCAUGCCAAACAUUUGUAUAUCGAACCUUAUAUACUC